rnacentral:rRNA from 1 species
UACGUAGGGCGCAAGCGUUGUCCGGAAUUACUGGGCGUAAAGGGCUCGUAGGCGGCCAACUAAGUCAGACGUGAAAUCCCUCAGCUUAACUGGGGAACUGCGUCUGAUACUGGAUGGCUUGGAUUUGGGAGAGGGAUGCGGAAUUCCAGGUGUAGCGGUGAAAUGCGUAGAUAUCUGGAGGAACACCGGUGGCGAAGGCGGCAUCCUGGACCAAUAUUGACGCUGAGGAGCGAAAGCCAGGGGAGCAAAGCGGGGAUU